CCUACGGGGGGCAGCAGUAGGGAAUCUUCCACAAUGGGCGAAAGCCUGACCCAGCAACGCCGCGUGAAGGAAGAAGGCCCUCGGGUUGUAAACUUCUUUUGUCAGGGACGAAACAAAUGACGGUACCUGACGAAUAAGCCACGGCUAACUACGUGCCAGCAGCCGCGGUAAUACGUAGGUGGCAAGCGUUAUCCGGAUUUACUGGGUGUAAAGGGCGUGUAGGCGGGAGAGCAAGUCAGAUGUGAAAUUCCAGGGCUCAACCCUGGAACUGCAUUUGAAACUGUUUUUCUUGAGUGAUGGAGAGGCAGGCGGAAUUCCGUGUGUAGCGGUGAAAUGCGUAGAUAUACGGAGGAACACCAGUGGCGAAGGCGGCCUGCUGGACAUUAACUGACGCUGAGGCGCGAAAGCGUGGGGAGCAAACAGGAUUAGAUACCCGAGUAGUC
rnacentral:rRNA from 1 species